CCAGUUACCAGCAUAUCCCUUCCCUUUUUAACAGAUCUUUUAUUCAAUGUCGAUUUCAAAACAUUCGACCAUUCUUACAUUCAAAGUCUUCAUCUUUAAAUCUCAGCCCUUUAAAUUCAUUUAAACCUUCUAGAAAGGGAGGUUGAGGACGGUUCCAAGAGGUUAGAGCAGUUCUAGUGUUAUAACCCCACUACCGCCAUAAAAGCAGAAGAGGAAUAGCAAGAACGAGAGCUAACUCUUCAAGAAUUAGCGACAUUAAGGUACAAUUUAAAUGCAUAUACAGUCAAUUAGGGCACAAAUCUUGCUAUUGUCCUUGUAUGUCUGUUGUUUUCGCUGUCGCCUCAUCUUUGGCGACAAUAAGGUACAAUUUAAUUACAACCAUUGUUUACGCUGUCGUGAUCAUCUCUUCAGUAUUAUCGCUUUAUGUGCAUCAAUUGAGGGUACAAGCCCAUAAUUGUUUAGGCCUUGAUCCUUCCAAGGUACAGAACUGUUCCCUCCAAGCUUUAUAUGGUGAUUAACUACCAAAAUUGGGUCUUUUGUUUACGACUUAUUUUGUUAGUAUGUCGAUUGAAAUUGCAAAAAACAAUCAUUCGGGCUCAGUUACAACCAUUGUUGCAAUUGCUUUGGCAAAGAGGAGAUAAUGGGAAACUCUCCAAUAGAAGAUGAGUCAUCCACUACACUGAGGAGAAAUUUAGGAUUGUGAGGAGUGUUGGUGAAGAGUGAAAGUAGGAAGAUGAACUCUUGAAUCUUGUAACCAAGAAGCCCCAACCCACUUGCCAUGACGCCUUCAAACAUUCUGGCAGAAUGCAUAUAGCACGGGGUGUUAUGAAAAUACUAAUGUCAACAAACUGAUGGGUGGGGAUUCGCAACUGAUGGGAAACUACUGUUAGAUCUGCUGAAAUAGGAGAGGAGUUGAGGCGAUUAUUAGAAAAAAACCUGAGCAAUAAUUUCCAGAAAGUGUGAUGGAAAUUAGAGGAAAAGGAUAAUUUCAUGUGGUGGAGUUAAUUAGCAAGUCUUUAUUUCAUGCAACUGCGUAUGAUCUUUGUACCAAGCUCAAGGAAAAAAGGAAUUCUUGCAAAACCGACUCUUAAUGCUACUAUUCGGUUGAACUCCUCUUUCCAUCAGGACCUCCUUGCUAAUCUUGAAUGCUCAUUGCUUGUGGCAAAAGACCCUGAAGUCAUAAGUGAUUUAGUCAUAACUCUACACGGUGAUGUUCAUGUCCUGCUCAAGCUCAAAAUUUAAGGGAUUCAUUUCAUAGUUAUCGAUAGCGAAGAUAGCGUUCGCUAUCGCGCGCUACGUAGCAAUUCGACCAUCUCUCGCAAUAUGUUACUUAGCGACUCCAUAGAUAACGGGAUUCAGACGACAAAUUCUGGCACCGAUGCUGUAAUUUCUGCGGAAACUUGCCGGAAGCCAGGAAGGAGAGAAGAAGAGCGGUUGCGUUCUCUGUGUUUAAAUAGAUGGCUUAGAAGUUCUAUGGGUCAAAGUGAGUGUUUUACUUGAAAAUUUGAAAGACGGAAUUGAUGUGGGCGUAGGCAAAGUCAACUAGCGUAGUAUGCGUUGCCGCGGGGGAUCCUACACUCGGAACCUUCUGAGCUACGUUGGGUUUCGAAGGGUGUUCAAAACGUGUUUGAUUUUCUUCAAAAUGACUUUCCAGACAUGGAUUUGAUUGGUAUAUCUCGUAAUUAGUCUAAAUUUCUUUUAAUGUCGUACUUUUAGAAACUAGGAUUUGAUGGGUCUGAUUCGUCUAAAGCAUAAUUCUUAAAUGUGUAAUAGAAUGCCAAUUUUUUGUAGAGUGAGGAUCCUUCAAGAUAGAUGAUUUGUCAAAUACGUUAUCGGACAUAAAAGCAUAUUCAUAAAAGAAAAUGGGAUAUGCAAAGAUAUCUGAAAAUGUGCAAUCUACUAGCCUUUUCCCA